rnacentral:lncRNA from 1 species
UAUAUGGGUCUAUAUGGGGUCUAUAUGGGUCUAUAUGGGGUCUAUAUGUGGUCUAUAUGGGGUCUGGGGUCCAUAUGGGGUCUAUAUGGGGUCUAUAUGGGGUCAUUGGGGUCUAUAUGGGGUCUAUAGGGGGUCUAUAUGGGGUCUAUAUGGGGUCAUUGGGGUCUAUAUGGGGUCAUUGGGGUCUAUAUGGGGUCUAUAUGGGGUCAUUGGGGUCUAUAUGGGGUCUAUAUGGGUGUAUAUGGGGUCUAUAUGGGGUGUAUAUGGGGUCUAUUUGGGGUCAAUAUGGGGUCUAAUUGGGAUCUAUAUGGGGUCAUUGGAGUCUAUAUGGGGUGAUUGGGGUCUAUAUGGGGUCUAUAUGGGGGUGUAUUUGGGGUCUGGGGUCUAUUUGGGGUCUAUUUGGGGUCUAUAUGGGGUCAUUGGGGUCUAUAUGGGGUCAUUGGGGUCUAUAUGGGGUCUAUAUGGGUGUAUAUGGGGUCUAUAUGGGGUGUAUAUGGGUCUAUAUGGGUGUAUAUGGGGUCUAUAUGGGGUCUAUAUGGGUCUAUAUGGGGUCUAUAUGGGUGUAUAUGGGGUGUAUAUGGGGUGUAUAUGGGGUCAUUGGGGUCUAUAUGGGGUCUAUAUGGGGUCUAUAUGGGUCUAUAUGGGGUCUAUAUGGGGUCUAUAUGGGUCUAUAUGGGGUCUGGGGUCUAUAUGGGGUCUAUAUGGGGUCUAUUUGGGGUCUAUAUGGGGUCAUUGGGGUCUAUAUGGGGUCUAUAUGGGGUCUAUAUGGGGUCUAUAUGGGGUCAUUGGGGUCUAUAUGGGGUCUAUAUGGGGUCUGGGGUCUAAUUGGGGUCUAUUUGGGGUCUAAUUGGGGUCUAUAUGGGGUCAUUAAGGGUCUAAUUGGGGUCUAUUUGGGGUCUACAUGGGGUCAUUGAGGUCUAUAUGGGGUCUAUAUGGGGUCUAUAUGGUGUCUAUAUGGGGUCAUUGGGAUCUAUAUGGGGUCUGGGGUCUAUAUGGGGUCUAUAUGGGUUUAUAUGGGGUUAUUUGGGGUCUGGGGUCUCUAUGGGGUCUAUUUGGGUCUCUAUGGGGUCUCUAUGGGGUCUCUAUGGGUCUAUUGGGGUCUGGGGUCUCUAUGGGGUCUCUAUGGGGUCUCUAUGGGGUCUCUAUGCAGUUAUUAGGGGUCUCUAUGGGGUCUAUUGGGGUCUGGGGUCUCUAUGGGGUCUCUAUGGGGUCUCUAUGGGGUCUGGGGUCUAUAUGGGGUCUAAUUGGGUUCUAUAUGGGGUCUAUUUGGGUCUCUAUGGGGUUAUUUGGGGUCUCUAUGGGGUCUCUAUGUUGUCUCUAUGGUGUCUAUAUGGGGUCUAAUUGGGGUCUCUAUGGGGUCUGGGGUCUCUAUGGGGUCUCUAUGGGGUCUAUUUGGGGUCUGGGGUCUAUAUGGGGUCUAAUUGGGUCUCUAUGGGGUCUGGGGUCUAUAUGGGGUCUAAUUGGGUUCUAUAUGGGGUCUAUAUGGGGUCUCUAUGGGGUCUCUAUGGGGUUAUUUGGGGUCUCUAUGGGGUCUAUUUGGGUCUGGGGUCUCACUCACUCUCAUUAGCGCCACCUGGAGGCCGAUCUCGAUCACGUCGCAGUUUCGUUUUUGGGGGGGUCCCGUUUUUGGGGGGGGGGCCAAAAAAACGUGAAGCUCCAAAUCGUCCAUCAGCUGCUCAACGACCCCCAGGGCGACCCCCAGAGACCCCCGGCACUGAAACAACCCAUAGACCCCAUAUAGACCCCAUUGACCCCAUAUACCCCAUAUACCCCNCAUUACUCCCAUUCAUUCCACAGUCCCAUUCAUUACAUUACUCCCAUUGAUCCCAUUCAUUCCAUUACUCCCA